AGCUCCUGCUUUCCGCUUUCCCCACAAAGCCACAUGGGAAAUAGUCGCAGCCGCGGAUCUCGAAGUGAGAUUUUCCUCCAAAAAAGGGAGGAUUCCGCGAGGAACGCCUCCUGAGAUUCUGGUGAGAUUUUGCGGUGGGCCUUGGGUUUCAGCGCUAUGGACUAGUUCGUUUGAGAACAUGCUCCCUCAGUUCAACCUCUUCCGUCGUGAAGUUCCUGCUGGGGGGGUUGCAUACGGAGUACGUAGUAUAGGGGAGGAAACGUAAAAUGAUGCCGCUCGAUGCUCAGGCCCUGUAUUUAACUCUUGGACUUUUGGCUACUAAAUCGAAUCCAGUCAAUGGAUCUGUCAAUGGAGUUUUGACUUGCCAAUAGGUGGCUAUUUAUCAUCUGAACCAUAACUUCGGGAUUUCGAUAAAUCUACACUCAGUUCCGGAAACGGGGGGAUCCGCCUGGCGAUGAGUUGACAGUUGGUUAGCCCGUUCGGUCCCGUUGUUCCCCGGCCCAAUAAAGGAGAAUGAACUUGCAGAACGUGGGGCCAAAAAAAGCUAUUGGGAACGGGAUAUGGGGAAGCCGGGGAAGCCGCGGAAACCUCCCACAAAAACUAGUCAAUCGUGGAAAAAGUGACACAUUAUGAAAAUCAAAGGGAAAAAGAAAAAAAAAAAAGGAAAUAUGACACGUUGAGAAGGGAACGAGGUAGCCUGAACCCAAAGACCCAGUGAAAAAAAUGGUCGAUCAAUGCCCAACGAACCAACGAC
rnacentral:sRNA from 1 species